rnacentral:tRNA from 1 species
CAUUAGGUGUCUGAAAGUAAGUGAUGGUCUCUUAAACCAAUAUAUAGUAAUUAACAAAUACUCUUAAUGG